AGCCAGUGUGGUGUAGUGGUUAGAGUGUUGGGCUAGGACCUGGGAGGCCAUGGUUCAAAUCCCUGCUCAGCUA
rnacentral:tRNA from 1 species